rnacentral:lncRNA from 1 species
UACAUAAUAACAGUUAAAAAUAGUGAAAACAGUAGUAAUAGUAAUAAGCUACAGACAUCCCUAUUCAGAUUCAGCAACACAAUCCCAGUUUCUCGAUAAUCAAUAAAUAAACAGAUUUACAUCAUAUAAAAAUUGAAUCUUGAGCAGUAGACGACUGUCACUCUGAGUAAUCCCUUGAAACCUCGGUUCCUGAAAUAGAACAAGUAGAGAUUCAUUAGUUUGUGAUGUUAAAGCUGAAAUAGAAAUUAAAUUGGAAGUUUGCUGGAAUAAGAUUUUGAAUUGGGAAAUAGAGAAGAGGGAAGAAGAAGAAGAAGGCGGGAUUAGCAAUAGCAGCAGCAGCCGUGAGCCAACCACAGCAGAGGCACGACUGGCGGUGGUGACCGCCGGCGUUGCCCGCGCUAAGGCGGCCGCGGUGGCUGCUAACAGUAGAGGAAGAGGGAGGUUGAGCGAGAGGUAGGGAUGGAGACUAAGUGAGAGAUAGUGAGAUAGAAUAUGAGAUAGAGACAGACAGCAGGAAGGAGAAAGGCAGAACGAGCUAGAGGGAGAGAGGAGCGGGGCAGGCGGCGGCGAGCACCGGCGCUGCAAGCGCCGUCGUGGCUUGCGGCGGCCGCCGCGCCCUGGACAGAGAGAGAGAGCGAGAGAUCGAGAGAGGGCAGAGAGAGAGAGUUCGAGGGAGAGAACAGAGAUAGAAGUAGAGAGAGAGACAGGGACUUACCUGAGUCAGAAGAGGCGGCGGCGUGACAGAGACGACGGCGGGGCGGCAGGCUUCGCCGGAGAGACGAAUUCCAGAGGGGAUGAAGAGAGGUAGAAACCCUAGGAUUUUGAUUUUUGAAUUGGGGAUUUAGAUAUAGGGAAAAGAGGGAGGAAGGAGGAGGAAGGACAGGCGCCGGCCUCGCCACGCCGGAGGCGGCGAGGGCCGGCGACGCUCGCCAGAAAACAGGAGAGAAACGACAGUGAGGAGAGAAAGAGAGAACAUAGUGAAGAAGGGGGAGCAUGCGUGUGAAAAGAGAGAGAGAAAAGGGUCAUCUGUAUUCUUA